GUGCCAGCCGCCUCGGUAAUACGGAGGGUGCAAGCGUUGUCCGGAAUCACUGGGCGUAAAGGGUGCGCAGGCGGGGCAGCAAGUCGGAGGUGAAAGCCCGUGGCUCAACCACGGAAGUGCCUUCGAAACUGUUGCUCUUGAGUCCCGGAGAGGUUGCCGGAAUUCGUGGUGUAGCGGUGAAAUGCAUAGAUAUCACGAAGAACACCGGUGGCGAAGGCGGCCAACUGAUCCGAUACUGACGCUGAGACACGAGAGCGUGGGGAGCGAACAGGAUUAGAAACCCUUGUAGUCC
rnacentral:rRNA from 1 species